AAAAUUGUUUGGGUUACCGUGGUUGCAGGGGGCGUGUAGUUAUUGAUGUAUGUGGUGGUCUAUGUAAACUAUAAUUGGUGCCAGGUGUGCGCGCACGAGUGGUCCAAGGUGUAUACACACUGGUAUUUGGUUGUCUUGCGUGCUGUCUCUUGGGUGCCGUCACUCGUCGUGGGCUGCUGCGCUUUCUCGGGUCCUGCUUGGUGGGCUGCUUGUUUUGGCAUGUAUCUUCAGGCGUCUGGGAGCUCUUUUGUGGGCCGUUCGUUUGGGAGUGGUUGCUUCUGUCUCCUCGUUUCGGUCUCUGUGGAUUCCUGCAG
rnacentral:lncRNA from 1 species